rnacentral:rRNA from 1 species
CAGGCCUAACACAUGCAAGUCGAACGAGAUCUUUCGGGGUCUAGUGGCGCACGGGUGCGUAACGCGUGGGAAUCUGCCCUUGGGUUCGGAAUAACAGCGAGAAAUUGCUGCUAAUACCGGAUAAUGACGUAAGUCCAAAGAUUUAUCGCCCAGGGAUGAGCCCGCGUAGGAUUAGCUAGUUGGUGGGGUAAAGGCCUACCAAGGCGACGAUCCUUAGCUGGUCUGAGAGGAUGAUCAGCCACACUGGGACUGAGACACGGCCCAGACUCCUACGGGAGGCAGCAGUGGGGAAUAUUGGACAAUGGGCGAAAGCCUGAUCCAGCAAUGCCGCGUGAGUGAUGAAGGCCCUAGGGUUGUAAAGCUCUUUUACCCGGGAUGAUAAUGACAGU